CAGUAAGAAUUCGAUAACAGAUAUUUGGGCAGUUUUAUGCUGGGGACGGCGUGGUUGAUAGUCUACUUGCACAUUUUGGGCAGUGCCACGAAACGUCUUAAAGAGAGCGAUCUGCUCGUGUCUCAGCCAGUAAGUAUUAUUUCAUACCAUUUAUAAUUUUUGCAAGCUAAGGUAACAACAAUAGGUGGUUCAAGUAACAUUUAAACUCUAUAAAAAUUAUAAAACAUAAUCUCAAUAACUAAUGGUUUUAAUCGGUUAAGUGGUUGCUUAAUCAAUUAACAAAAAGCUAGAGUUAAUCGAUUAACUGAAGGCUUAAUCGAUAAAUCUAUUGGUUAUCUUGAAAAUCAUUUGGUUCUUGAUGCUGCAAGAAAGCAAUGAUUAAACUAAUCUAAUAUGUUCUUAAUAGACUAACUGAAGGCUUGACCAAUUAACCUACUGGUUUUCUUAAAAAUCUUUUAGUUCUUGAUGUAGCAAGAAAGAAGUGAUUAUACUAAUCUAAUAUGCUCUUAAAUAGAUUAUUGAAAAUGAUUAACAGAGCAAAUUCACUUAUGCAAUAAUCUCUAAGCGAGUGUGAUAAAAUGAAGCUAAAGUACGGUAAUUGCAUGUAUGUAAAAUAAUAGGGUAAGAUAGAAGAUAACAUAGUCAAUUUAUCCUGGUUCGAUUUCCAACCCCAACCCACAUGUAAUCUACAUCUAGUUCUCCCCUUAUGAUCUUGCGAGAUUUGAUUUACUAAGAAGAAAUCAAAUGCUUAUACAAAACACUUCUUCCACCAAGAAUUCUCUUGGACCUAGCUUCUAAUGGCUCCUCACCACUUCUAACCAAGUAUACACAAUGAGACCUCUUCUUGGACAUUAACCACAACCUAGGAUUUCUCCUAAUUUUCUCUCUUCUUCCAAGGUGAUACCUCACACCCUCAAAGACACAAAUUUACAAAUUGACCAUAAAGAUAUUUACAAAUUUCCUUGCACCUAAAAUAUGCUAAUCAUACACUAAUAUUCAGAACAUUUCUACCCCUUGAUGAAUCUCACAAUCUCGGUGAUGAAUAUGAAUGAUUAUGAUUCACAAAAUGAAAAUCUUUGAAAACUCUCAAUGUAUGAAAAUAAAAUCUUUCAAAGAUUUACAAAACUCUUUCUUUUUACAUGAAAGUUUUUUUUCUCUUUUCAGAAAAUCACUCUUGAAAAAUGUGUAUCAAUCUUGCAUCAUGUUUCUGUAAGUGUAAAAAUUCUUGUUCUUUUUUCCCAUGGGAAAGGAUGGUAUAAUAUCAUUUAGUUUCAAACUUUUUUGUUGAGGAUCAUUUAAUCGAUUAACGUUUCUUUUAAAACGUCCAAGAUUAUGAUAGUGCAAAGUGUCAAGUAUAGCACUAUUAGAUUGCCUAUGUUUUGAUGAAGACAAGGAUUUAGUGAAAGCUUGAAGAUAACUCAAAAAAUCAACUUGCCAUGGACUCAAGGGUUUCAUAUCUAGACUAGGUUCCUUAAAAGAGUCAUUUUUAGAGUCUUAGAUGUGUGCCUUAGAUAUUGAGUCUAGGUUAGGUAAACCUAGAUGCAAUUCUCACAAGCCUUAAAAAAUAAUCAAUUCACUUAUAUGAGACAUGCCAUCUAGAUUAUUAUGUGUUCAUGCAUUAAGCAUACAUGUUACUUAUGCAUCUUAGGCAUAAUAUAUUGCUAAAACAUGUAUAGGUGAUUAACAUAACAUAUAGGUAGUUUACCAUUUAAUCAUCUAGCUGAAAAAUAUGCCAAUUAAUCGAAGGUACUAGCGAAGUCAAGCGUGCUAGGAUGAAUGCCCUGGUACAUGAGUACAAGUUGUUUCGUAUGUUGCCGAGUGAAUCUAUCGGCAACAUGGAAAAGCGAUUCACACAUAUAGUAAACCAUUUAGUUGCUCUAGAUAAAAAUUUUACCAAAGGAGAACUAACUAAUAAAGUUUUGCGUUGUCUUGACAGGAGAUGGCAACCUAAAGUUACAACCUUUGGAAACAUUAUUUGGAAAGCUUCAAGAGCACGAGAUGGAACUUGGGCGCUUGACAAUGCAUGAGGAAUCAGAUCACAAAAAGAAAGG
rnacentral:lncRNA from 1 species